rnacentral:rRNA from 1 species
AGACCCGAAACCCGGUGAUCUAGCCAUGGGCAGGUUGAAGGUUGGGUAACACUAACUGGAGGACCGAACCGACUAAUGUUGAAAAAUUAGCGGAUGACCUGUGGCUGGGGGUGAAAGGCCAAUCAAACCGGGAGAUAGCUGGUUCUCCCCGAAAGCUAUUUAGGUAGCGCCUCGUGAAUUCAUCUCCGGGGGUAGAGCACUGUUUCGGCUAGGGGGCCAUCCCGGCUUACCAACCCGAUGCAAACUGCGAAUACCGGAGAAUGUUAUCACGGGAGACACACGGCGGGUGCUAACGUCCGUCGUGAAGAGGGAAACAACCCAGACCGCCAGCUAAGGUCCCAAAGUCAUGGUUAAGUGGGAAACGAUGUGGGAAGGCCCAGACAGCCAGGAUGUUGGCUUAGAAGCAGCCAUCAUUUAAAGAAAGCGUAAUAGCUCACUGGUCGAGUCGGCCUGCGCGGAAGAUGUAACGGGGCUAAACCAUGCACCGAAGCUGCGGCAGCGACACUCAGGUGUUGUUGGGUAGGGGAGCGUUCUGUAAGCCUGCGAAGGUGGCCUGUGAGGGUUGCUGGAGGUAUCAGAAGUGCGAAUGCUGACAUAAGUAACGAUAAAGCGGGUGAAAAGCCCGCUCGCCGGAAGACCAAGGGUUCCUGUCCAACGUUAAUCGGGGCAGGGUGAGUCGACCCCUAAGGCGAGGCCGAAAGGCGUAGUCGAUGGGAAACGGGUUAAUAUUCCCGUACUUGGUGUUACUGCGAAGGGGGGACGGAGAAGGCUAUGUUGGCCGGGCGACGGUUGUCCCGGUUUAAGCGUGUAGGCUGGUUUUCCAGGCAAAUCCGGAAAAUCAAGGCUGAGGCGUGA